GAGGCGUGGCUUCCGGAGCUAACGCGUUAAGUCGACCGCCUGGGGAGUACGGCCGCAAGGUUAAAACUCAAAUGAAUUGACGGGGGCCCGCACAAGCGGUGGAGCAUGUGGUUUAAUUCGAUGCAACGCGAAGAACCUUACCUACUCUUGACAUCCAGAGAACUUUCCAGAGAUGGAUUGGUGCCUUCGGGAACUCUGAGACAGGUGCUGCAUGGCUGUCGUCAGCUCGUGUUGUGAAAUGUUGGGUUAAGUCCCGCAACGAGCGCAACCCUUAUCCUUUGUUGCCAGCGGUCCGGCCGGGAACUCAAAGGAGACUGCCAGUGAUAAACUGGAGGAAGGUGGGGAUGACGUCAAGUCAUCAUGGCCCUUACGAGUAGGGCUACACACGUGCUACAAUGGCGCAUACAAAGAGAAGCGACCUCGCGAGAGCAAGCGGACCUCAUAAAGUGCGUCGUAGUCCGGAUUGGAGUCUGCAACUCGACUCCAUGAAGUCGGAAUCGCUAGUAAUCGUAGAUCAGAAUGCUACGGUGAAUACGUUCCCGGGCCUUGUACACACCGCCCGUCACACCAUGGGAGUGGGUUG
rnacentral:rRNA from 1 species